rnacentral:rRNA from 1 species
ACGUAAUAGAUACCCGGGUAGUCCACGCCGUAAACGAUGAGUGCUUGGUGUAGCGGGUAUCGACCCCUGCUGUGCCGAAAGUCAAACACAUUAAGCACUCCGCCUGGGGAGGUACGGUCGCAAGGCUGAAACUACAAAGGAAAUUGACGGGGGCCCGGCACAAGCGGUGGAGCAUGUGGUUUAAUUUCGAAGCAACGCGAAGAACCUUACCUGGGUUUGAAAUGCACUGGUAAGCCUCAGAGAUGAGGCCCCUCCUUGGAGGCCGGUGUAUAGGUGCUGCAUGGCUGUCGUCAGCUCGUGUCGUGAGAUGUUGGGUUAAGUCCCGCAACGAGCGCAACCCUUGUCCAUAGUUGCUAACGGGUAGUGCCGAGAACUCUAUGGAGACUGCCGGUGAUAAACCCGGAGGAAGGUGGGGAUGACGUCAAGUCCUCAUGGCCUUUAUGUCCAGGGCUACACACGUGCUACAAUGGACGGUACAAAGAGUCGCAAAACCGCGAGGUUGAGCUAAUCUCAGAAAGCCG